rnacentral:rRNA from 1 species
UUCACGUCCGCCCGGCUGUCCGGUCGCCUGGCCUCGCCCGAUGUCGUCGGCUGCCUGCCGCGGUUCGCGCCGUGUCGCAGUGUCAGUUCCGUCGUUCACGGUGCGAGGUGGCGGCCAUCGCGGCGGCGGAGGACUGCACUUCCUCCCUAGUAGGAACGUCGCGACCCGUCGAGGGCGGGUCCAAGGCACGGGGUAUCGAACGCUCGCGUCUGUGGGGCGGGUUUCCGUUCCCGGCGCGAAUCUCCGUUGCCCGGCCUGCCGUUAGACGGUAUGACGGCGGAGCAGGCUCGCUCAACUCAGAGCGCCCAGCCCGGUGUCGGCGUGGUCGUCCGUCGGUGGCUCGUGUCGAAAACACGUCCCUGGCGCCGUGCCGCGUCCGGCUGCAAGACCGGUGUCCCUGGGCAGCGGCCUAGUCUCCCGUCGGCGACGCCGCAGAUUGGGGCACUCUCCCGACCCGUCUUGAAACACGGACCAAGGAGUCUAACAUGUGCGCGAGCCAUUGGGUUCGGCAGCGAAACCCAGAGGCGCAGUGAAAGUGAAGGUAGCCCUAGGGCAACCGAGGGAGGAUGGUGCCGGCUGCGUCCGGUGCCCGCACUCCCGGGGCGUCUCACCCUCAUUGCGAGGAGAGACGCACCCAGAGCGUACACGUUGGGACCCGAAAGAUGGUGAACUAUGCCUGGCCAGGACGAAGUCAGGGGAAACCCUGAUGGAGGUCCGUAGCGAUUCUGACGUGCAAAUCGAUCGUCAGAGCUGGGUAUAGGGGCGAAAGACUAAUCGAACCGUCUAGUAGCUGGUUCUCUCCGAAGUUUCCCUCAGGAUAGCUGGUACUCGGAGUAAGAGUCUCAUAUGGUAAAGCGAAUGAUUAGAGGCCUUGGGGCCGAAACGACCUCAACCUAUUCUCAAACUUUAAAUGGGUGAGAUCUCCGGCUUGCUCAACGUGAAGCCGGAGGCGGAUCAGAGUGCCAAGUGGGCCAUUUUUGGUAAGCAGAACUGGCGCUGUGGGAUGAACCAAACGCAGAGUUAAGGCGCCGAAAUCGACGCUCAUGGGAAACCAUGAAAGGUGUUGGUUGCUUAAGACAGCAGGACGGUGGCCAUGGAAGUCGGAAUCCGCUAAGGAGUGUGUAACAACUCACCUGCCGAAGCAACUAGCCCUGAAAAUGGAUGGCGCUGAAGCGUCGUGCCUAUACUCUGCCGUCGGCGGCAGGAGGGCGCUCCCGCAAGGGGGCCCCGGUGAAGCUCCGACGAGUAGGAGAGUCGCGGCGGUGUGCGCAGAAGGGUCUGGGCGCGAGCCUGCCUGGAGCCACCGUCGGUGCAGAUCUUGGUGGUAGUAGCAAAUACUCCAGCGAGGACCUGGAGGACUGACGCGGAGAAGGGUUUCGUGUGAACAGCCGUUGCACACGAGUCAGUCGAUCCUAAGCCCUAGGAGAAAUCCCAUGCAGAUGGUUCGGUGUAAAUGUCGAAAGCAAAACCGACCGUCGGGCGAAAGGGAAUCCGGUUCCUAUUCCGGAACCCGGCAGCGGAACCGUUCCAAUUCGGGCCCUCGCAAGAGGACUCGUCGGGGUAACCCAACAGGACCCGGAGACGCCGUCGGGAGAUCGGGGAAGAGUUUUCUUUUCUGCAUGAGCGUUCGAGUUCCCUGGAAUCCUCUAGCAGGGAGAUAGGGUUUGGAACGCGAAGAGCACCGCAGUUGCGGCGGUGUCCCGAUCUUCCCCUCGGACCAUGAAAAUCCGGGAGAGGGCCACGUGGAGCUUUCGCGCCGGCUCGUACCCAUAUCCGCAGCAGGUCUCCAA